AUGAAGAGGAAGCCCCGAGGUGCCUGAGAGUCAAUGGUGAAGCCCAUGGUUUCUAACCCUUUAAUGAUCAGAGCAGGUGGAGCUCCGAAUCUCUUAAGUUCGGAUAGUAAAUCGUCUUGCGGAUAGCAUAUAUUUCAGACGGCCACAUGAAAGGGCUCACAUCAAUUACUGGAAUGUGAUUUUGGAGUUGACAAAUGUACCAGAGUGAUUUGGAAUGACUCUACUGUUUCAACAGCUUUAUCGAAAGGCUGGAGCCGAUGGAUAGCAAUCAAAAUAUUCUCUUUCCUUUUCUCUCUCUCCCUCCCUCCCCCCUCCCCACCCCGCCCCGGUCUCCCGUUCUCGUUCUGACUCUUGCUCUGUCACUCUCUUUUUCUCUCUCUGGCUUUAUCCUCUCUCUUGGAUAAAAUUACUUACUGCAAUGAGUUUUUUCAACAAUACGUGAGUUCCUGGUGGUCAGAAUACCUGGACCCUUCUCUAUUGUUCUUGGCUUUCCAGGACUCAGCCAAAACAGAGGCUUAAAGUCCCCCAACUUAACAUUCUCCCAGUGUAGCCUGGGAAAUCAACGGAAGAAAUGCUGCUCGCUGGAGUUCCUUCUUGAGAGUUGCAUGUACACAGUCCUAGUAAAGGCUCUGAGAAGUCCUUCAGACAAAAAGUUAUUAAAUUCUAUUUAACCCAGUGUUUCCCAGAUUAUUUGACCACAGAAUUCUUUCCUCAAAAUAUUUCUCUAUUGGUUAACCCAGGUCUGCUGAAGCAAAAGAGAGUGUAGGCUAGGGAUACUGGGAAUUCUCCUGGAAGCUGAGGCAGAAUGUGUCUGGCUCUCAGGAUGGAUGGACCAGGAAACUAACUGCCAGAACUGCGCUCCUCAUCCUUGUGGCCCUCCCUGCUGACCUGCCUGUCUGGUUGAAGUGCAGAACACAGCACUUUCCCCCCAACAUCCAGAGAUGGAGGACACAGGUCUCACCAAUCCAGAGAGACUGCCUUGACCCUUAUCCUGUCCCAAUUCCAAACCCCUUGGAGACAGGAUCCUGCUGAAUCUGUCAUCCCCUUCAUCCUUCACACACAGCAAGUCCACACCUCAACCUGGGCUAGUUUGGGAGGGGGUGUGGAAGGUAGUGAGUUUGUGGGGGGAUUACUAGAGAAAGGAAGGUUGUUGGUUUGUGAACUGGAUGGACACCCACUGAGACAGAUGCCCAGCCUGAGACGACCUGUGGGACAUUGCCAUCCCCAGCUGCAUCGCCUUUCUUUCCUUGAACACAUCAAGC
rnacentral:lncRNA from 1 species